GACUAAAAAAUCCCCUCUACGCCGCCCGGCGCAUGACCGCCCGAUUCAGCGCCUCCCGCUGGAGACCGCCCGCCUCCGACGAGGGCCACGCCGGUGAUCUCCCCUCAGCCCGCCUGCCCCCUCCUUUCAUCUCCGUUCUACUCCUUCUCUCUCGGCCCCAUCGAGCUCGCCUCGAUCCAUGGCCCCUCCUUAAACCUAGCUCCGGUCUCGGCCACGACCGGCCUCGCAGAUCUCGGCCGCCAUCCCCUACGCCUCCCCCCGCGUCUCCCUCACCUCGCCCGUGCAGCACCGUGGCUGCACGUCGCCUGCGCCAUCUGCUGCAGCCCCGCUCUAAACCACUUGCAUGCCAUGGGCAGCGGCCAUGGAGGACACACCUCCGCCUGCUCACUCGCCGCUGGCCAGCCAGUACCUCCACCAACAUCUCAUCCAUCUAGAUCAGUGGCCCUUUAAUUUUAGCGGAUUUUCUUCUUCUUUACAGCAUGCUAAUUAGCUAGGAUAUAGUCUUGAUUUCAAUUAUUGCAGAAUGGCAAUCUGCUUUAUGUUGGCUUUAUCAUCUCAGGAUAAUCCAGAUGUUCUCAUAUGCCUUGAGGAGUUGUCGGUGGAUUAUAUGCAGAGGCUACCAAGUGGUAGCUCCAAUGUUGCAAGAGGUCAGUAAUGGGUGCUUCUUCUGGGAUGGCUAACCUGAGAUACCAACGCUGAAGGAUCUGAAUUUUCAAGCUCAGCAAGGCCUGCAUGUUGCAGUCUGUGGGACGGCCGGCUCUGGAAAAUCAAGUUUGCUCUCUUGAAUGGUAUGGUUUCAAAGCUAUUAGGAGAGGCCAAGACUUGCGGAACAAUGCCAUAUGUCAGCCAGACUGCAUGGAUACAAAGCGACAAAAUUCAGGACAACAUACUGCUCUGCAAGACGAUGGAGAGGGAGAAGUAUGGCAGGGUCCUUGAGUGGUGUUCGCUAAAGAAAGACUUGGAGAUCAGAAAUCAUUGGAGAGUGAGUCUGCACUCUUAGUGCCUGGCAGAAGCAAAGGACUCGGAUAGCCCGAGCAUUGUAUCAGUAUGCUGACAUCUAUUUAUUCCAUGAUCCGUUCAACGCAGUUGACAUACAGGAUCCCAAUUUUUCAAGAUCGAUGGUUUCGUCGCGGUCGGCAGGAGAAAUAUCAUCAAUGGUACGGAAAAAGGCAGGUAGGCUGAGGCGGGCGCCCACACCGAGCAGCCGAUCCAGGAAACCAGCCCUGCGGCAUCCCCUCGUGCCACUCCCCAUCUCUAUGUUUGUGUCAGGCCUAGCGCAAGGUAUUGGUAGAAGAGGAGGCCGGAAAGAGAAGCUGCAUGGUAGGAGGCUUUUGUUCUGAAGGCAAGUUGGAUGAUCUGCUGACAAAGAAACACCUCUAUUCUGAAUUUCUACUUGAAACAAUUGAUCAGAUCACAAAUGUACCUUGGUUAUGUCUCUCACUGUGUGCUGAACAAUGUUUUGCCUAUUUUCAUCUUGGUUGCUGACAUUGUUGGUGUUAUCUGUCAAAGAAAGUUGUUGAAGUGAAAGAUGAAGAUGAACCCGUAGAAGAGCUGAAACAAGGACGUGGUAGAAAAAAGGAAGCGAAGCCUAAACAGUAUAAUGAUGUGAGUUCAGAUUUCUUAUGUUUUCUUCCCUGCUUCAUCAAUAUGAUAGCAUGGUUGUCUUCCAGAUUAUGCGAAUGUCUUUGGUUGUCAUAUACUGUGGAUGCAUUGUAGUUUGAUGUGUAGCCUGUAUUAACUGCUCAACAGACUUUCCUUGAAUAAUUAUACAUAGACUGUUCGAUCUCUUAUUGUUUAAAGAAAAUUCUAAUUAACUGCUCAACCCGUGACAGUACUGCCUCGCCCAGCGAGUUUUAGCUGAUUGAUCCUGCACAUCAGCCUAACUGCUACAAUAAAUGGACUUACAACAAUGAUUCUUUCUAUAUUGAAUUUCUAUAUUCGACCUCACCAUUGCUUAGUUUCCUUUCCUGAUGUCAAGACACAAAGAAUUUGAGAUCCAAUUUAUCUUUUUUAGUUUUUACACUAGAGUGCUUCAUUUAUAUGUAUUACUGUAGACACAUGGGAAUCCUCAAGGUGGCAGGCUUGUUCAGUUAAAUGGUCUGUAUUGUUUCCGGUGUGUGUUGGUCAUGCAUCAGGUAUCACUCAGUUUCAAGGAAUUUCAAGAGGGCAUGUCAGCUUCUCCUAUUUGAUGAAAGAAACCGACAAACAAGGAGAGAAAACUUAAACAAGAGAAAUGUAUGAGGAUGUCGGUGUCCCAUCAAACAUGUAUUGUGUACAGACUUUAUGGAAUAAUGAAGUAGAAAGCCAUCAAAUACAAAGGUUGUGUCCCAUCAGUAACUUUAUUUUUGAGUGACAAUAGUAACUAUAUUUGAUUUAGUUGAGUGACAAAUAACACAGUAGAGGCCCUAUCUGAGAAUGUAUAUAUUUAUCCAAGAACAACCC